rnacentral:rRNA from 1 species
CGAUGAAGCCGGCGCGUGAGCGAUCCGGUGGAGAGAUCACUAGUGAGAAUGAUGACAUGAGUAGCGACAAAGAGUGUGAGAGACACUCUCGCCGAAAGUCCAAGGGUUCCUGCUUAAAGCUAAUCUGAGCAGGGUAAGCCGACCCCUAAGUCGAGGCCGAAAGGCGUAGACGAUGGGAAUCAGGUUAAUAUUCCUGAGCCAGAUGGAAGUGACGGAUCGUGAAGGUUGUUCACCCUUAUCGGAUUGGGUGGGCCGCUAAUCGGUUCCUGGAAAUAGCUCCAUCAUCAGAUCGUACCCUAAACCAACACAGGUGGACUGGUAGAGCAUACCAAGGCGCUUGAGAGAACGAUGUUGAAGGAACUCGGCAAAAUACCUCCGUAAGUUCGCGAGAAGGAGGCCCAGUUUCUACGCAAGUAUUGGCUGGGGGCACAAACCAGGGGGUGGCGACUGUUUACUAAAAACACAGGGCUCUGCGAAGUCGCAAGACGACGUAUAGGGUCUGACGCCUGCCCGGUGCCUGAAGGUUAAAAGGAGAGGUGAGAGCCUUGAAUUGAAGCCCAGGUAAACGGCGGCCGUAACUAUAACGGUCCUAAGGUAGCGAAAUUCCUUGUCGGGUAAGUUCCGACCCGCACGAAAGGCGUAACGAUCUGGGUGCUGUCUCGGAGAGAGACUCGGCGAAAUAGAAAUGUCUGUGAAGAUGCGGACUACUUACACCUGGACAGAAAGACCCUAUGAAGCUUUACUAUAACUUGGCGUUGGGUUCGGGUUUGUUUUGCGCAGUAUAAGUGGGAGGCGUUGAUCUUUUCUUUCCGGAGAAAAAUGAGCCAACAGUGAGAUACCACUCUAAGCAAGCUAGACCCCUAACUUUAUACCUUUAACAGGUUAGAGAACAGUGUCAGGCGGGUAGUUUUUCUGGGGCGGAAGCCUCCUAAAAGGUAACGGAGGCGUGCAAAGGUUUCCUCAGGCUGGACGGAAAUCAGCCGUAGAGUGUAAAGGCAGAAGGGAGCUUGACUGUGAGACUUACAAGUCGAGCAGGGACGAAAGUCGGCCUUAGUGAUCCGACGGUUCCGAGUGGAAGGGCCGUCGCUCAACGGAUAAAAGUUACUCUAGGGAUAACAGGCUAAUCUCCCUCAAGAGUUCACAUCGACAGGGAGGUUUGGCACCUCGAUGUCGGCUUAUCGCAACCUGGGGCGGAAGGGCGUCCCAAGGGUUGGGCUGUUCGCCCAUGAAAGCGGUACAUGAGCUGGGUUCAGAACGUCGUGAGACAGUUUGGUCCAUAUCCGGUGUAAGCGUUAGAGUAUUGAGAAGAGCCUUCCUUUGUACGAGAGGACCGGGAAGGACGCACCUCUGGUGUACCAGUUCUUUAAAAGGGAAACGCUGGGUAGCCAUGUGUGGUUCGGAUAACCGCUGAAAGCAUCUAAGCGGGAAGCCCCUUCCAAGAUGAGAUCUCCCUGGACCCUCGAGGUCCCUGAAGAGCCGUUCAAGACCAGGACGUUGAUAGGUCGGGUGUGUAAGCGCUGCGAGGCGUUGAGCUAACCGAUACUAAUUGCUCGUGCGGCUUGAC